rnacentral:rRNA from 1 species
UACGUAGGUGGCAAGCGUUGUCCGGAUUUAUUGGGUUUAAAGGGUGCGUAGGUGGCCCUGUAAGUCAGUGGUGAAAUAUCUCAGCUUAACUGAGAGGGUGCCAUUGAUACUGCAGGGCUUGAGUACAGAUGAGGUAGGCGGAAUUGACGGUGUAGCGGUGAAAUGCAUAGAUAUCGUCAAGAACACCGAUAGCGAAGGCAGCUUACCAAGCUGUAACUGACACUGAGGCACGAAAGUGUGGGGAUCAAACGGG